UAAGCUUUGCAUGGUGGGUGCUUCUGUU
rnacentral:piRNA from 1 species